rnacentral:rRNA from 1 species
AUGAACGCUGGCGGCGUGCCUCAUACAUGCAAGUCGAGCGAACAGACGAGGAGCUUGCUCCUCUGACGUUAGCGGCGGACGGGUGAGUAACACGUGGAUAACCUACCUAUAAGACUGGGAUAACUUCGGGAAACCGGAGCUAAUACCGGAUAAUAUAUUGAACCGCAUGGUUCAAUAGUGAAAGACGGUUUUGCUGUCACUUAUAGAUGGAUCCGCGCCGCAUUAGCUAGUUGGUAAGGUAACGGCUUACCAAGGCAACGAUGCGUAGCCGACCUGAGAGGGUGAUCGGCCACACUGGAACUGAGCCACGGUCCAGACUCCUACGGGAGGCAGCAGUAGGGAAUCUUCCGCAAUGGGCGAAAGCCUGACGGAGCAACGCCGCGUGAGUGAUGAAGGUCUUCGGAUCGUAAAACUCUGUUAUUAGGGAAGAACAAAUGUGUAAGUAACUAUGCACGUCUUGACGGUACCUAAUCAGAAAGCCACGGCUAACUACGUG